UACGGGGGAGCAAGCGUUGUUCGGAUUUACUGGGCUUAAAGGGUGCGUAGGCGGCGCGGAAAGUUGGGUGUGAAAUCCCUCGGCUCAACCGAGGAAUUGCGCUCAAAACUACCGUGCUCGAGGGAGAUAGAGGAGCGCGGAACUUAGGGUGGAGCGGUGAAAUGCGUUGAUAUCCUAGGGAACACCGGUGGCGAAAGCGGCGCUCUGGAUCUCAUCUGACGCUGAUGCACGAAAGCUAGGGUAGCGAACGGG
rnacentral:rRNA from 1 species